rnacentral:pre_miRNA from 1 species
ACAUAUUUCUUUGCAGACCGUAAUGGCAUUCGAUAGCUUUAUGGAAUGUAAAGAAGUAUGCAA